GGAGGAGGAGGAGGAAAGGACCACCCGGCACAUCCUCGUGGUGGCUGCCUCCACUCCUCCAGCCCUUGGCCCAGGGCUGAUGUCAUCCGCAGCAAAUCAUUUCGCCGGCGGCCCGGAAGCUGGAGGGACGAGGUUCCUAAGUUUCUGGCCGUGGUCUGUUAACUUCCAUUUCUUUGGGCCUGAGGAGCCAUUAAAGACACAGACAUGAUGUGGAAGACAGUCCAGCCAAGCGGCCCAGACGCAGACUUACAACUUGCAGGGUGCGAUGGGACAGGU